UACGAAGGGGGCUAGCGUUGCUCGGAAUUACUGGGCGUAAAGGGAGCGUAGGCGGACAUUUAAGUCAGAGGUGAAAUCCCGGAGCUUAACUUCGGAACUGCCUUUGAUACUGGGUGUCUUGAGUGUGAGAGAGGUAUGUGGAACUCCGAGUGUAGAGGUGAAAUUCGUAGAUAUUCGGAAGAACACCAGUGGCGAAGGCGACAUACUGGCUCAUUACUGACGCUGAGGCUCGAAAGCGUGGGGAGCAAAC
rnacentral:rRNA from 1 species